rnacentral:lncRNA from 1 species
AUGGGGAACCGCGGUGGCUUCCGCGGAGGUUUCGGCGGUGGCAUCCGGGGCCAGGGUCAUGGCCGUGGACUGGGCCGGAGCCGAGGCCAUGGAGCUCGCAGAGGCAAGGCCGAGGAUAAGGAGUAGAUGCCCGUCACCAAGCUGGGCCACCUGGUCAAGGACAUGAAGAUCAAGUACCUGGAGGAUGUCUCUUCUCCCUGCCCAUCAAGGAAUCUGAGACCAUUGACUUUUUUCUGGGGUCCUCUCUCAAGGAAGAGGGUUUGAAGAUUAUGCCGGUGCAGAAGCAGACCCGCGCGGGCCAGCGCACCAGGUUCAAGGCGUUUGUUGCCACCGGGGACUACAAUGGCCACGUCGGUCUGUGCGUUAAGUGCUCCAAGGAGGUGGCUACUGCCAUCCGCGGGUCCGUCAUCCUGACCAAGCACUCCAUUGUCCCCGUGCGCAGAGGCUACGGGGGAACAAGAUGGACAAGCCCACACCGUCCCUUGCAAGGUGACAGGCCGCUGCGGCUCUGUGCUGGUGCACCUCAUCCCUGCACCCAGGGGCACUGGCAUCGUCUCCGCACCUGUGCCCAAGAAGCUCCUCAUGAUGGCUGGUAUUGAUGACUGCCACACCUCAGCCAGGGGCUGCACUGCCACCCUGGCAACUUCGCCAAGGCCACCUUUGACACCAUCUCUAAGACCUACAGCUACCUGACCCUCGACCUCUGGAAGGAGACUAUAUUCACCAAGUCUCCCUAUCAGGAAUUCACUGACCACCUCGUCAAGACCCACACCAGAGUCUCCAUGCAGAGGACCCAGGCUCCAGCUGUGGCUACAGCAUAG